rnacentral:rRNA from 3 species
GGGUUGUGAGGUUAAGCGACUAAGCGUACACGGUGGAUGCCCUGGCAGUCAGAGGCGAUGAAGGACGUGCUAAUCUGCGAUAAGCGCCGGUAAGGUGAUAUGAACCGUUAUAACCGGCGAUACCCGAAUGGGGAAACCCAGUGUGACUCGUCACACUAUCAUUAACUGAAUCCAUAGGUUAAUGAGGCGAACCGGGGGAACUGAAACAUCUAAGUACCCCGAGGAAAAGAAAUCAACCGAGAUUCCCCCAGUAGCGGCGAGCGAACGGGGAGGAGCCCAGAGCCUGAAUCAGCAUGUGUGUUAGUGGAAGCGUCUGGAAAGGCGCGCGAUACAGGGUGACAGCCCCGUACACAAAAGCGCAUGUGCUGUGAGCUCGAUGAGUAGGGCGGGACACGUGGUAUCCUGUCUGAAUAUGGGGGGACCAUCCUCCAAGGCUAAAUACUCCUGACUGACCGAUAGUGAACCAGUACCGUGAGGGAAAGGCGAAAAGAACCCCGGCGAGGGGAGUGAAAAAGAACCUGAAACCGUGUACGUACAAGCAGUGGGAGC